rnacentral:rRNA from 2 species
UACGAAGGGGGCGAGCGUUGUUCGGAUUUACUGGGCGUAAAGGGCGCGUAGGCGGCCGAUCAAGUCAGGCGUGAAAGCCCCGGGCUCAACCUGGGAAUUGCGCUUGGGACUGGUUGGCUUGAGUUCGGGAGAGGAGCGUGGAAUUCCCAGUGUAGAGGUGAAAUUCGUAGAUAUUGGGAAGAACACCGGUGGCGAAGGCGGCGCUCUGGACCGAGACUGACGCUGAGGCGCGAAAGCGUGGGGAGCAAACAGG